rnacentral:misc_RNA from 1 species
UCAAAUUCUAAUUUAAGAAACCUCGUCUAAUACUAGGUUGACUCUACAACAAAGAAGAAAUACUGUAGUGCCAUGCCAAUUACAGAAAAACAAAAAGCAUAAUUGAUAGCUUUGACAAUUUGAUGGAUAACUAUAAAAUGAUGGUGUUGUCAAAAUAUCCAAUUGCAUUCCUCAACAAAGAUAAGGUAAAUUUCGUGGCUGUUGGAGUUCUCUAUGAAUGCAAAUACAAUGUCUCCAAAUAUUUGUAAUUUGGAAUGGUAGAUUCAAAAGUUUGCACUCAACAGAGUGAUAUACAACUGAAAGCCAGAUAAAGCAGAAAUUUUCAGUUCAUUUGUAGAUAUCGUAUACAUGAAAAAAGUACUCAACAACCAAAAUGGCUCCAAUCAGUUCAUGACAAAUAGCAAAUGUAAAAAAUACUAAUUCAAGGUGCACUAAACACAACCUAUUUGUGAUCACAAGAACCAAAAUAUAUGUGAAAACAAAAUCUUACUUUUGGUAAGUGGUGGUUUUG